UGAAAUGCAGGCUGCGUUAAAAACUAUUGGUGAAAAAGACAAAUAUUUCUCUAAAGUAUCCUUGCGGAUGCCAUCUUAUGGAAUCACAGUUAGACCUUCCCUAUAGAUGUAUCAAGGGCAAACACUUCAGCAAAUGGAAGCUCUGGUGCUUCUUCAGAAAUGUCACUUGAUGGUUGGGAUGGUCUUGCCCUUGAGUAUUCUGUCGAUUGGCCUUUGCAUUUGUUCCUUACUCAAGAAGUCCUCUCUAAAUAUCUUAGAGUUUUCCAAUAUUUACUGCGGCUCAAACGAACACAAAUGGAGUUAGAGAAAUUGUGGGCAUCUGUAAUGCAUCAAUAUCACCGUGAUUUUGCCAAACGCAAAAAGGAUCAAGCUAAGAGCCCAACGGCA